GGAAGAUCUGCCCUCAUGCAAUGUGGGCGGGCACCACCCAAUCGGCUGAGGGCCCAGAGAGAAGGAAAAGGCAGAGGAAAGAUGGGGAAACUGAGGCACGGAGUGACUAAAAUAGUGCACGCAUGGCCUUUGAGACAGUAAACAGCGGAGCUGGUAUUGAAUCCUCGCUCCAGCCGAAGCCACUGCUGCGUGGCCCCUGCUGAGCCUCAUUCCCCGGGACCCCUGAGGGAGAGCGGAAGCAAGGCUUACUGAGCACUUCCUCAGGACAGGCCCUCACACCCAGCACCUCGUUCAUUCUCACAGCAAUCCUCACAGAGAGGGGCUUCCUCUUUUUCUUCUUGCGGAGACCAAGACUCAGAGAGGCCUCGGCGUCCGCAUCUGUAAAAUGGGCUGUUGCAAGGAUUAAACGGAGCACUAGACCUCGGGCCACUGGACCGCGCCUGACACACGGCGAGCUCUCCACAGGUGUCGGCGCUUACUAUCCAUCCACCACCGCCGUUGCCUGUAGUGGAGCAACAGCUCCAUCUCAGGGGUGGCCCUCUCUCUCUGUGGAGCCAGGAAGGGUCUUGCCUUUCUUGUCCAUGAGGAUGAUGCAGCCUGUGAAGUGCAGACUGGGGGGUGCAGGGCUCUGGAGCCAGCUCACCCAACUACUACCAGUGAGAUGUGGGCCAAGUCUGUAAUGGCGGCCUCAGUGACAAAGGAGCCCCAGCGUGGAGGGCAUCUCUCCUCAGGCCCAGGCAUCUCCUGAAAGCUGCCUCUAGGAGACCCUGGAGGGCAGGGCCCUCAGCUGUGUUCCAUCUACUCCUGGCUUGAGGAAGGGACAGAGGAAUUAAGAGCAGGAGCCUGGAGAGGCCAGGCCUCGUGUGGACCAAGGCGCCGUGUGGAUUCCUACCUCAGUGGUCACCAAUCACAGGCCUGGGAGUCACCCAGCUGCUCCCAGCCACCAGCAGGUCCUGAGCCCCCACCUCCUCCCUGUCCUCUCCGUAUUAUUCUUCACAGCCCUCGUCACCACCGGACACGGCAUCCACAGCACGGCAUUCAUCACGUUGCGUGUCCUCCUUCCCACAGGAAUGUCACUUAGUCCAGUCAGCGGUGUUUAUCUGUCUGGUUAUCUGCCGUAUUUCCAGCAUCCAGUGCAGUGCCGGCAACAUAGUAAGUGCGCAGUGCACUUUUGUUGAAUGAAUGAAUGAAUAAAUGCCAAGGACCUUCUAACAUUCACUUAAUAAACAGCAGAAAUGAUGAAUUUUCUAUCCCAGAGCCAGACACAGUUACCUGCACACAGUGGGCGCCCAGCCAAUGUUGACGAUGAUGAUGAUGACACAACCAGAACCAGGAGCCAGGAGCCAGGAGGGGGUCCCGAGUCCCACCCGCCCUCUGUCUCCAAGCCGGGCUUCUCCUGGAGAGCCCUUCCCUCCUCUUGGUCAGCCCUCAGGGCCCGGUUCCAGGGUCUCCUCCUCCCUGUGGUCCCAGGACCAUCCUGCCCUCAGCAUGGCUUCCUCCGUCCUCAGGGGUACUGCAGCACGCAGGCGGCAUCAACAACACAACCAUUUUUGAGCGCCUACUGUGUGCCAUUGUGAGCGCCUCCUCACAUGCUUUAUCUCCAAACCUCACAGCCCACUGAGAUGGCUGUUGCCUUCCCUGUUCUAGAGAUGAGUACCUGAGACUCAGAGAAGUUAGAUAACUUGUCCAAGGUCACACAGCAGGAAGGAGGCAGAGCCAGACUCAGACCCAGGGGUGGGUCCUUCCCCUGCCCCUGCUCCUGGCUGUCUGUGGGUGUCACUCCAGCCCUCCUGGCCUAAGGCCUUCUCCCCACGGAACAGGCUCAGCUCAGGGACAGGGACAUGGGGAAACCAGAGCUGCCUGCCUAUCCCCCAGGGUCUCAGGUCCUACAAAUAUUCCCAGCAGUGCCCCCCAACCCACUCCUCGCCUUACCCAGAGAUAGACCGACAGGCUCACAGCGCCUGGCUUGGGGCCACACAGGGACUGACCCAUCUCUGCUGGGGCUCCCAAUGCAGCGGGGAGGAUUUGAGUCAGCUGAGAUGCACCGUGUCCACUAGAGCCUCUGCCCCUUUGCUCAUGUCUCCCCACAACCCAGGCUAGGGCACAUGCCAUCCUCCCUCCCAUCACUCACCCCUCCCCAAAAAACCUCUGCUUCCCUUCAAGGGCCAGCUCAGUCCCUGUCCCUCCAAGAAGUCUUCCCCAAAUACCCCAGCCCUCGCCUACCCCUCCCCUCAUCUGACACCAACACUGUGGUGCCAUUCUUAGGCAUGCCCUCCCCUA
rnacentral:lncRNA from 10 species